rfam:Triticum aestivum genome assembly, contig: Triticum_aestivum_CS42_TGACv1_scaffold_130863_2BL
CAACUACUCCCUCUGUCCCAAAUUUCUUGUCUUAGAUUUGUCUAGAUACGGGUGUAUCUAAUACUAAAAUGUGACUUGAUACAUCUGUCUCUAGACAAAUCUAAGACAAGAAUUUUGGGACGGAGGGAGUACUUU